rnacentral:rRNA from 1 species
AGUACGAGAGGACCGUGUUGGACUGACCUCUGGUUUACCGGUUGUGGCGCCAGCUGCACCGCCGGGUAUCUACGUCGGGAUCGGAUAAGCGCUGAAAGCAUCUAAGUGCGAAGCCGGCCACAAGAUAAGAUUUCCUCAUAAGGGUCGUUGUAGACGAUGACGUUGAUAGGGUGUAGGUGUAAAGACGGUGACGUCAAAGCCGAGCACUACUAAUUGCCCGAAACUUUCUUC